rnacentral:rRNA from 1 species
GAUGAACGCUAGCGGCAGGUUUAACACAUGCAAGUCGAGGGGUAGAGGUUGCUUGCAACCUUGAGACCGGCGCACGGGUGCGUAACGCGUAUGCAACCUACCUUUUACAGAGGGAUAGCCCAGAGAAAUUUGGAUUAAUACCUCAUAGUAUAUAACCUUCGCAUGUUGGUUAUAUUAAAGUUCCAACGGUAAAAGAUGGGCAUGCGUCCUAUUAGCUAGAUGGUAAGGUAACGGCUUACCAUGGCUACGAUAGGUAGGGGUCCUGAGAGGGAGAUCCCCCACACUGGUACUGAGACACGGACCAGACUCCUACGGGAGGCAGCAGUGAGGAAUAUUGGACAAUGGGCGCAAGCCUGAUCCAGCCAUGCCGCGUGCAGGAAGACGGUCCUAUGGAUUAUAAACUGCUUUUGUACGGGAAGAAACACUCCUACGUGUAGGAGCUUGACGGUACCGUAAGAAUAAGGAUCGGCUAACUCCGUGCCAGCCGCCGCGGUAACAC